rnacentral:rRNA from 1 species
UACAGAGGUCUCAAGCGUUGUUCGGAUUCAUUGGGCGUAAAGCGCGCGCAGGCGGUCUUUUAAGUCUGAUGUGAAAGCCCACGGCUCAACCGUGGAGGGUCAUUGGAAACUGGGAGACUUGAGUGCAGAAGAGAAGAGUGGAAUUCCACGUGUAGCGGUGAAAUGCGUAGAGAUGUGGAGGAACACCAGUGGCGAAGGCGACUCUUUGGUCUGUAACUGACGCUGAGGCGCGAAAGCGUGGGGAGCAAACAGG